rnacentral:sRNA from 12 species
GGCUGAAACUCGAACUGUCACCUUUAUGGAUGGCGUUUCCGAUAAACCUGCCUAUCGGUAGACAAGGUCGGAAUAGGGUUUCAGUUUUUA